GGAAUGGUGAAAAGUACCCCGGGAGGGGAGUGAAAUAGUACCUGAAACCGUGUGCUUACAAGCCGUUGGAGCCUUUUGGGGUGACAGCGUGCCUUUUGAAGAAUGAGCCUGCGAGUUAGUGUUAUGUCGCGAGGUUAACCCGUGUGGGGUAUCCGUAGCGAAAGCGAGUCUGAAUAGGGCGUUUGAGUGGCAUGACCUAGACCCGAAGCGGAGUGAUCUAUCCAUGGCCAGGUUGAAGCGACGGUAAGACGUCGUGGAGGACCGAACCCACUUCAGUUGAAAAUGGAGGGGAUGAGCUGUGGAUAGGGGUGAAAGGCCAAUCAAACUCUGUGAUAGCUGGUUCUCCCCGAAAUGCAUUUAGGUGCAGCGUUACGUGUUUCUUGCCGGAGGUAGAGCUACUGGAUGGCCGAUGGGCCUUCACGGGUUACUGACGUCAGCUAAACUCCGAAUGCCGGUAAGUGAGAGCGUAGCAGUGAGACAGUGGGGGAUAAGCUUCAUUGUCGAGAGGGAAACAGCCCAGACCAUCAACUAAGGCCCCUAAGCGUGUGCUAAGUGGGAAAGGAUGUGGAGUUGCUGAGACAACCAGGAGGUUGGCUUAGAAGCAGCCAUCCUUGAAAGAGUGCGUAAUAGCUCACUGGUCAAGUGAUUCUGCGCCGAUAAUGUAGCGGGGCUCAAGUACACCGCCGAAGUUGUGGCAAUGAUCUUUUUGGAUUGUUGGGUAGGGGAGCGUCGUGUAGCCGGUGAAGCUGCGGUGUAAACCAGUGGUGGAGGCUAUGCGAGUGAGAAUGCAGGCAUGAGUAGCGAAAGAUGAGUGAGAAACUCAUCCGCCGGAUGAUCAAGGGUUCCAGGGUCAAGUUAAUCUGCCCUGGGUUAGUCGGGGCCUAAGGCGAGGCCGACAGGCGUAGUCGAUGGAUAACGGGUUGAUAUUCCCGUACCGGUGAAAAACCGCCCAUACUGAUAUUGUGAUGCUAACCAUGCGAAGCAUGAUGUGCAGGCUUUUGUUUGUGUGUUGUGUGGGUUGUGGGACCCGAUCUUUGGAGGUAAACGUAUUAACAGGUGUGACGCAGGAAGGUAGCCAAGCCACGCGAUGGUUGUCGUGGUCUAAGCGUGUAGGGUUGUCGGUUGUUAAAUGCGCCGGCUGUGUGCCUGAGACGUGAUGGGACCCCGUUUUUGGGGGAUUUGGUGAUCCUAUGCUGCCGAGAAAAGCAUCGGCGUGAGGUUUUAGCCGCCCGUACCCUAAACCGACACAGGUGAUCAGGUAGAGAAUACUAAGGCGAUCGAGAGAAUCAUGGUUAAGGAACUCGGCAAAAUGCCCCCGUAACUUCGGGAGAAGGGGGGCCCUGAGCGUGAUCUGCCCGUGCGGUGGGGAGCGUGUAGGGGUCGCAGAGACCAGGGGGAAGCGACUGUUUAUCAAAAACACAGGUCCGUGCGAAGUCGUAAGACGAUGUAUACGGACUGACUCCUGCCCGGUGCUGGAAGGUUAAGAGGAUUGGUUAGCCCUUUUUGGGCGAAGCUGAGAAUUUAAGCCCCAGUAAACGGCGGUGGUAACUAUAACCAUCCUAAGGUAGCGAAAUUCCUUGUCGGGUAAGUUCCGACCUGCACGAAUGGCGUAACGACUUCUCCGCUGUCUCAACCGCGAACUCGGUGAAAUUGCAGUACGAGUAAAGAUGCUCGUUUCGCGCAG
rnacentral:rRNA from 1 species